UCUUUUACAAAGCUAUAAGAUAUUUAAGUACCCGUUUUGUAAUUUUCCACUUAAACUGAUAUGUUUGAUGAACUUGGCAGUCUAACUGCAUUGGUUAAAAGGAUGCACAUUUAUAUUUCUAAAUGAAAUGGAAUACUGAAUUUAAAAGGUGAUGUUUUCUCUAUUAAGUAUGAAAAUAGAUACAAAUCUGGCCAGGCGCGGUGCUCACGCCUGUAGUCCCAGCGCUUUGGGAGGCCAAGGCGGGUGGAUCACAAGGUCAGGAGAUCGAGACCAUCCUGGCUAACAUGGUGAAACCCCAUCUCUACUAAAAAUACAAAAAAUUAGCCGGGCAUGGUGGCGGGCA
rnacentral:lncRNA from 1 species